rnacentral:rRNA from 1 species
UACGAAGGGGGCUAGCGUUGCUCGGAAUCACUGGGCGUAAAGCGCACGUAGGCGGAUUGCUAAGUCAGGGUGAAAUCCUGGAGCUCAACUCCAGAACUGCCUUGAUACUGAAGAUCUUGAGUUCGGGAGAGGUGAGUGGAACUGCGAGUGUAGAGGUGAAAUUCGUAGAUAUUCGCAAGAACACCAGUGCGAAGGCGGCUCACUGGCCCGAUACUGACGCUGAGGUGCGAAAGCGUGGGAGCAACAGG